rnacentral:rRNA from 1 species
AGGACGAACGCUGGCGGCGUGCUUAACACAUGCAAGUCGAGCGGAAAGGCCCUUCGGGGUACUCGAGCGGCGAACGGGUGAGUAACACGUGAGUAACCUGCCCUAGGCUUUGGGAUAACCCUCGGAAACGGGGGCUAAUACCGAAUAUUCAUUCUGGAUGGCAUCAUCUGGUGUGGAAAGUUUUUCGGCCUGGGAUGGGCUUGCGGCCUAUCAGCUUGUUGGUGGGGUGAUGGCCUACCAAGGCGACGACGGGUAGCCGGCCUGAGAGGGCGACCGGCCACACUGGGACUGAGACACGGCCCAGACUCCUACGGGAGGCAGCAGUGGGGAAUAUUGCACAAUGGGCGGAAGCCUGAUGCAGCGACGCCGCGUGAGGGAUGAAGGCCUUCGGGUUGUAAACCUCUUUCGACAGGGACGAAGCGCAAGUGACGGUACCUGGAGAAGAAGCGCCGGCCAACUACGCGCCAGCAGCCGC